CUUAUCACCUUUAUACCGAUGAAAGGGUGGGGGAGUGGCCACUGGGCUUCUAGUCCAACCAGUCGGGCCUUUGAACCGGGCCGUGGCAUUCUUGUCCCAACAACUGGACCCCACUGUCCAUGGAUGGUAGCCAUGCUUGAGAGCCCUGGGGGCAGUGGCUGAACUCACAGGGCAGGCUACCCAAGACCACCCUGUUCCAGCCAAUCAUGGUAUACUGCGGCGAGCUCCUCGGCCAGCAAGGAAGAACGACCACCACUCGAGGAUUCUUCUCAGAUCACACUUUAUUGGAGCGCCUCUUGAUUAAGGGAGAGCUGGAGAAAUUUGCCUUCUUUGCUUCCUCAAGAAACAGAUGCCUGAGGUCUCUAGGAUGACAAUUAACUGGAUUCUCCUCCACUCACACCUCCUGCUGAAUCUACAGACCUGGGCAGAGGACCCUCAACUGAGAAAGUGCCUCCAUCACACUGCCUGUAGCAACCUGUCUUCUAAGCUCCCUCAAGGACCAGAUGCCCGAGGUCUCCACAAUGACAGCUAACUGAAUGCUUCUUCACUCAUACCUCCCACUGUGCAUGACCCUGACUCCCAACUUCUCCUUCCCCACUUUGUCCCAAAUCAGCAGGAAGUAGUCUCAAGAAUUCGGUGCCCUCAUCCCCCCCACACUUGCUAUCCAUAACUCACCUUUUAUAAUAAUCGAAAAGGGAGGAAUGUUAGCAUCCAGACUGGCCCCUGGCCUGCCCAGCAUCCUUACAAUGCCAUCCUACAUAAAGUAUCCUUUAAGAAAAUACCCCUCCCUCUUUUCUCCUUCUCUAUUCCCAUGAGUUACACACCUCUGCUCUCUCUCUCUCUCCUUCUCUCUCUGUUCUCUUCUCCUUUCCUCCCUAUCCUU